GACUCCUUCUGAGCUAUUUUGGCUUCUCAGGCUGGCUGGAGAAAAAAGCAGCAGAGACAUUUUGUUCGUGCAAUCAACCAGGCAGAAGACUUUGGAUAGGACAUGGAGAACGUCAGUAGGGAGGUUAGAGCACUGACUUUAGAUCUCUUACUUCGUUUUUGUUGUUGAUGGGAUAAAAAGGAGACAGCAAAGAAACAAAAGAUGAGAGGGCCAUCUGACUUCAGCAUACAGUGGCUUUCCCGGUAGCAGCACGGUGCCUGCCUCCCUCUGCUCCAGUAUGGCCAUUGAAACAAGCCGAUACAGACUUGACGGCGCCAGCAAACCUGCAAUAACUUGUUCGUUGCCACAGUGCUUCCAGGGCCCAUCCCAUCACCUAUCUCUCUUCACACUCCUCCUUAUUGCUCACCUGAUAACGAUAGCC